GCGCCCGUAGCUCAGUCGGACAGAGCGUCGGACUUCGAAUCCGAAGGUCGCAGGUUCGAUCCCUGCCGGGCGCA
rnacentral:tRNA from 1 species